rnacentral:rRNA from 1 species
UACGGAGGGUGCGAGCGUUUGUCCGGAUUUAUUGGGUUUAAAGGGUGCGUAGGUGGCUUUUUAAGUCAGUGGUGAAAUACAGCCGCUCAACGGUUGAGGUGCCAUUGAUACUGAAGAGCUUGAAACAAGUGGAGGCUGCCGGAAUGGAUGGUGUAGCGGUGAAAUGCAUAGAUAUCAUCCAGAACACCGAUUGCGAAGGCAGGUGGCUACGUUUGAUUUGACACUGAGGCACGAAAGCAUGGGGAGCAAACAGG